rnacentral:rRNA from 1 species
GUCCAUGCCGUAACGGUGGGCGCUAGGUGUGGGUCCUUCCACGGACUCCGUGCCGUAGCUAACGCAUUAAGCGCCCGCCUGGGAGUACGGCCGCAAGGCUAAACUCAAGGAAUUGACGGGCCCGCACAAGCGGCGGAGCAUGUGGAUUAAUUCGAUGCAACGCGAAGAACCUUACCUAGGCUUGACAUAUACAGGACGACGGCAGAGAUGUCGUUCCCUUGUGGCUUGUAUACAGGUGGUGCAUGGUUGUCGU